UAGUCCUUUGCCUGAUUGCUUUUGCUGAGUAUUAUUUGAUAAAAUUACUAUCGAUGGACUAUUCACUACCACGGUGCCCUAGCUAGUUAUGACUUUUAAUUUUUCUCCAAGUGGCAUACAUCUAGGACAUCCCUUGGACUUGCCGAAGAGGAAGGCUGUUAUUUUGCUAUUCUUUCUGAGUGCUUUGAGCAAGCAAGGUCUCUUUUCAUUCUGACCUACCAUUGUUGGGAAUAGCCCCAGAAACUAUGGAUAGGAGUUUAUAUCCUGGUUAAGAAGUAUCUGGGGAUACACAUUUA
rnacentral:lncRNA from 1 species